GUACGGGGGGGAGCAAGCGUUUGUUCGGGAUUUACUGGGGCGUAAAGGGCGCGUAGGCGGCCACUUGCAAAGUCGGUUGGUGAAAUCUCCGGGCUUAACCCGGAAAGGUCAAUCGAUAGCUGCAGGGCUAGAGUGCAGAAGGGGCAACUGGAAUUCUUGGUGUAGCGGUGAAAUGCGUAGAUAUCGAGAGGAACACCUGCGGCGAAGGCGGGUUGCUGGGCUGACACUGACGCUGGAAGCGCGGAAAGCUAGGGGAGCGAACGGG
rnacentral:rRNA from 1 species